rnacentral:rRNA from 1 species
GACGAACGCUGGCGGCGUGCCUAAUACAUGCAAGUUGAGCGCUGAAGGUUGGUACUUGUACCGACUGGAUGAGCAGCGAACGGGUGAGUAACGCGUGGGUAAUCUGCCUUUGAGCGGGGGACAACAUUUGGAAACGAAUGCUAAUACCGCAUAAAAACUUUAAACACAAGUUUUAAGUUUGAAAGAUGCAAUUGCAUCACUCAAAGAUGAUCCCGCGUUGUAUUAGCUAGUUGGUGAGGUAAAGGCUCACCAAGGCGAUGAUACAUAGCCGACCUGAGAGGGUGAUCGGCCACAUUGGGACUGAGACACGGCCCAAACUCCUAAGGGAGGCAGCAGUAGGGAAUCUUCGGCAAUAGACGAAAGUCUGACCGAGCAACGCCGCGUGAGUGAAGAAGGUUUUCGGAUCGUAAAACUCUGUUGGUAGAGAAGAACGUUGGUGAGAGUGGAAAGCUCAUCAAGUGACGGUAACUACCCAGAAAGGGACGGCUAACUACGUG